ensembl:snRNA U6 U6 spliceosomal RNA
AUGCUCGCUUAGGCAGCACAUAUACUAAAAGUGGAAUGCUACAGAGAGGAUUAGCAUGUCCCCUGCGCAAAACAGCACCACCAAUGGGGGAUUGGGACUCAAACAUAU